GACCAAGGAGUCUAACAUGUGCGCGAGUCACGGGGUCUUGCUUAGGCCCAGAGGCGCAAUGAAAGUGAAGGUCGACCUCGACGUCGGCUGUGUUGGGACUCCUCGCCCUCGCGGUGGGGAAGCACCAACGACCCGUCCUCUCCGAUUUAUCGGUUGGGCGGAGUCUGAGCGUACACGUUGGGACCCGAAAGAUGGUGAACUAUGCCUGGGCAGGACGAAGCCAGAGGAAACUCUGGUGGAGGUCCGUAGCGGUUCUGACGUGCAAAUCGAUCGUCAGACCCGGGUAUAGGGGCGAAAGACUAAUCGAACCAUCUAGUAGCUGGUUCCCUCCGAAGUUUCCCUCAGGAUAGCUGGCGCUCGGAGGAAUCAGUCUCAUCCGGUAAAGCGAAUGAUUAGAGGCCUUGGGGCCGAAACGACCUCAACCUAUUCUCAAACUUUAAAUGGGUGAGAAGUCCGGCUUGCAUGACCGAAGCCCGGACAUUUCGGAUGUGAGCGCCCAGUGGGCCACUUUUG
rnacentral:rRNA from 1 species